rnacentral:rRNA from 1 species
AACGAACGCUGGCGGCAGGCUUAACACAUGCAAGUCGAGCGCCCCGCAAGGGGAGCGGCAGACGGGUGAGUAACGCGUGGGAAUCUACCCAUCUCUACGGAAUAACGCAUGGAAACGUGUGCUAAUACCGUAUCCGUCCUUCGGGAGAACUAUUUAUCGGAGAUGGAUGAGCCCGCGUUGGAUUAGCUAGUUGGUGGGGUAAAGGCCUACCAAGGCGACGAUCCAUAGCUAGUCUGAGAGGAUGAUCAGCCACACUGGGACUGAGACACGGCCCAGACUCCUACGGGAGGCAGCAGUGGGGAAUAUUGGACAAUGGGCGCAAGCCUGAUCCAGCCAUGCCGCGUGAGUGAUGAAGGCCCUAGGGUUGUAAAGCUCUUUCACCGGUGAAGAUAAUGACGGUAACCGGAGAAGAAGCCCCGGCUAACUUCGUGCCAGCAGCAGCCGCAGUAA